rnacentral:rRNA from 1 species
UUUAACACGAAGUGAGUGGCGGACGGGUGAGUAACACGUGGGUAACCUGCCCAGAAGCAGGGGAUAACACCUGGAAACAGAUGCUAAUACCGUAUAACAGAGAAAACCGCCUGGUUUUCUUUUAAAAGAUGGCUCUGCUAUCACUUCUGGAUGGACCCGCGGCGCAUUAGCUAGUUGGUGAGGUAACGGCUCACCAAGGCGAUGAUGCGUAGCCGACCUGAGAGGGUAAUCGGCCACAUUGGGACUGAGACACGGCCCAGACUCCUACGGGAGGCAGCAGUAGGGAAUCUUCCACAAUGGACGCAAGUCUGAUGGAGCAACGCCGCGUGAGUGAAGAAGGGUUUCGGCUCGUAAAGCUCUGUUGUUAAAGAAGAACGUGGGUGAGAGUAACUGUUCACCCAGUGACGGUAUUUAACCAGAAAGCCACGGCUAACUACGUGCCAGCAGCCGCGGUAAUACGUAGGUGGCAAGCGUUAUCCGGAUUUAUUGGGCGUAAAGCGAGCGCAGGCGGUCUUUUAAGUCUAAUGUGAAAGCCUUCGGCUCAACCGAAGAAGUGCAUUGGAAACUGGGAGACUUGAGUGCAGAAGAGGACAGUGGAACUCCAUGUGUAGCGGUGAAAUGCGUAGAUAUAUGGAAGAACACCAGUGGCGAAGGCGGCUGUCUGGUCUGUAACUGACGCUGAGGCUCGAAAGCAUGGGUAGCGAACAGGAUUAGAUACCCUGGUAGUCCAUGCCGUAAACGAUGAUUACUAAGUGUUGGAGGGUUUCCGCCCUUCAGUGCUGCAGCUAACGCAUUAAGUAAUC